UCUGGAUCUGACCCGAAGUCCCGGGACCCGAUGCCAUUCUGUAGGUUUAUUAGCGAGUCCUUCAUCUGCAAGACAAGAAAUGUCUCCAAUGUGAUGCAUGAGCACUGGUGCCUCCUGCUGGGAUGUGCAAGCAUAGAAAUGGGCACUGAAAAGGCAGCCAGCAAGAGACUGCUUCAGCAAGAUCUCCCUCCUGGACUCGCCUGGACCUAAGAGAUGAAAGAGAAGCUGUGACAACCUGUGAAUCUUGGACACAGUGCACACAGUGAUGCCAGCAGCGGCCUGGAGGAGAUGGGCCUCGCUGCAGGUACGGCUGCACGAUGGCAGUGCCCCCCUGCGAGGACAGUGCUGACCAUCCAUAAGGGUCUUCUCACCUGGUCUAGAAGCAUCACCGACGACUUGAUGAUCUCACGCCACUUCUGUAGCUCUGAGUCAUGAUACUUUUGC